UAAGGAAUAUUGGUCAAUGGGCGGAAGCCUGAACCAGCCAUGCCGCGUGCAGGAAGACGGCCCUAUGGGUUGUAAACUGCUUUUGUACGGGAAUAAACCUCUCUACGUGUAGAGAGCUGAAUGUACUGUAAGAAUAAGGAUCGGCUAACUCCGUGCCAGCAGCCGCGGUAAUACGGAGGAUCCAAGCGUUAUCCGGAUUUAUUGGGUUUAAAGGGUGCGUAGGCGGCCUGUUAAGUCAGGGGUGAAAGACGGUAGCUCAACUAUCGCAGUGCCUUUGAUACUGACGGGCUUGAAUGCAGCUGAGGUAGGCGGAAUGUGACAAGUAGCGGUGAAAUGCAUAGAUAUGUCACAGAACACCGAUUGCGAAGGCAGCUUACUAAAGUGUGAUUGACGCUGAGGCACGAAAGCGUGGGGAUCAAACAGGAUUAGAUACCCCGGUAGUCC
rnacentral:rRNA from 1 species